rnacentral:rRNA from 1 species
UAGGGAAUCUUCGGCAAUGGACGGAAGUCUGACCGAGCAACGCCGCGUGAGUGAAGAAGGUUUUCGGAUCGUAAAGCUCUGUUGUAAGAGAAGAACGAGUGUGAGAGUGGAAAGUUCACACUGUGACGGUAACUUACCAGAAAGGGACGGCUAACUACGUGCCAGCAGCCGCGGUAAUACGUAGGUCCCGAGCGUUAUCCGGAUUUAUUGGGCGUAAAGCGAGCGCAGGCGGUUAGAUAAGUCUGAAGUUAAAGGCUGUGGCUUAACCAUAGUAGGCUUUGGAAACUGUUUAACUUGAGUGCAAGAGGGGAGAGUGGAAUUCCAUGUGUAGCGGUGAAAUGCGUAGAUAUAUGGAGGAACACCGGUGGCGAAAGCGGCUCUCUGGCUUGUAACUGACGCUGAGGCUCGAAAGCGUGGGGAGCAAACAGGAUUAGAUACCCUGGUAGUCCACGCCGUANCGAUGAGUGCUAGGUGUUAGACCCUUUCCGGGGUUUAGUGCCGUAGCUAACGCAUUAAGCACUCCGCCUGGGGGAGUACGACCGCAAGGUU